rnacentral:rRNA from 1 species
UUACCUACGGGAGGCAGCAGUAGGGAAUUUUCGUCAAUGGGCGCAAGCCUGAACGAGCGAUGCCGCGUGAGUGAAGAAGGCCUUCGGGUCGUAAAGCUCUGUUGCGGGGGAAGAACGGUCACUGUGCUAAUCAGCAGUGAAUUGACGGUACCUGCAAAGGAAGCACCGGCUAACUCCGUGCCAGCAGCCGCGGUAAUACGGAGGGUGCGAGCGUUAAUCGGAAUUACUGGGCGUAAAGCGCUCGUAGGCGGUAUGUCAAGUCAAGGGUGAAAUCCCCGCGCUCAACGUGGGAACUGCCUUUGAAA